rnacentral:rRNA from 1 species
UACGUAGGGCGCAAGCGUUGUCCGGAAUUAUUGGGCGUAAAGAGCUCGUAGGCGGUCUGUUGCGUCCGCUGUGAAAACCCAGGGCUUAACCCUGGGCUUGCAGUGGAUACGGGCAGACUAGAGGUAGGUAGGGGAGAAUGGAAUUCCCGGUGUAGCGGUGAAAUGCGCAGAUAUCGGGAGGAACACCGGUGGCGAAGGCGGUUCUCUGGGACGGUACUGACGCUGAGACGCGAAAGCGUGGGGAGCGAACAGG